AUACGGAGGAUGCGAGCGUUAUCCGGAUUUAUUGGGUUUAAAGGGAGCGUAGGUGGAAUAUUAAGUCAGCUGUGAAAGUUUGCGGCUCAACCGUAAAAUUGCAGUUGAUACUGGUCGUCUUGAGUGCAGUAGAGGUAGGCGGAGUUCGUGGUGUAGCGGUGAAAUGCUUAGAUAUCACGAAGAACUCCGAUUGCGAAGGCAGCUUACUGGACUGUAACUGACGCUGAUGCUCGAAAGUGUGGGUAUCAAACAGGAUUAGAUACCCUGGUAGUCCACACAGUAAACGAUGAAUACUCGCUGUUUGCGAUAUACGGCAAGCGGCCAAGCGAAAGCAUUAAGUAUUCCACCUGGGGAGUACGCCGGCAACGGUGAAACUCAAAUGAAUUGACGGGG
rnacentral:rRNA from 1 species